rnacentral:rRNA from 1 species
GCCGUCCCUGGAAAUACCUCCCGCAUGAGACCGUACCCCAAACCGACACAGGUGGUCAGGUAGAGAAUACUAAGGCGCUUGAGAGAACUCGGGUGAAGGAACUCGGCAAAAUUGUACCGUAACUUCGGGAGAAGGUACGCCUCUGUUUGUGAACACUUCGCGUGGUAAGCAAAUGGAGGCCGCAGUGACCAGGUGGCUG